AGCUUCCUAGAGAGGUAGAAAUCAGUCUUUUGUGACCGAAUCAUGAAAGUUACAUCUCAUUUCUUUCUUUCUUUCUUUUUUUGUAGGUAUAGAUGGACAGCAUACUUUUAUUUUACUUAUUUUUGUAUACGGUGCUAAGGAUCAAACCCAGGACCUCACACGUGCUAGGAACAAGGUGGGCAUGUAUGUUCUGCUGUUGAGACUACUCUGUCAACCUAGCUAAUGCGAUUGCUUCUGGGAUGUUCACCAACCCUGACUGGACCAACAAAAGCCCUCAAGUUUUGCUGGAAUUCUUGAGAAAGAGUUCUUUUUAGACUGGGUUUAUAAAACAUGGAAAAUUCAAGUCUAUAGUUGCUCCAGGCCACCCGGUUGGGGAAAACCCACCUGAAAGGAGGCAAAUAAAGAAGAAAAGCCGAUAGAAACAGCUUCCAAUAAUUUCAUUGGGACAUCUGGAUCCAGCUAUACCUGAAUCUUCUUCAGCGCUAUGCAUUUCUCUCCAAUCCAGAAGGACAGAGGUAAAGGAUAUUUACAAGAGAAGGGAAAGUGAAGGGGUGAGGUUCCACAAGAGCAGACAGAAUCUGCAAGGAAAACUCCUCCCACCACACCCGCUGCAGCCAGACUGGUUCUCAGUGAAGCUGAUGAAGAAACAGACAUUCAAAGAAGUUAAAUAACUUGCCCAUGGCCAAUUAUUCAGAUACAUUGUUGACUUCAAAAUCUAUGCUUGUUCUACCAUACCUGUACGUGUGAACUGGAUCCAGGACAAGACUUUUCAGAGCUUGGAGAAGAUAGAGAGACAGGAAGAGAAUACGUUUCGACUUGAAUUGGUGGGAUAUUUCUCUUUUCUUCUUUUUUCUUUCUUCCUCCCUUCCUUCUAUCCUCCCUUCUUUUCUUUUUUUCAAUUAAGAAAAAUCACACAACUAAUAAUAAAGCUAGCAGAAGCACUAGA